AUAGGGUAGGAAUCCCCACGGAGCAGCGAGAGCAUCGGAGCAUCCCCGGGGUGCGAAGGGAGGACACCGACAGAGAAUCCCUUGGGGCAACGAGCGCCGAGAGCGACUGAGCAUCCCCGUGGUGAGGACGACGGUGCCAGGAGCAGCACGGAGAGCGAGAUAGCAUCCCCCAGAGGGUACGGAUCCCCACGGAGAGCGGCGGAGCAUCCCCGGGGUGAGAAAGGAAGCCACGGAGAGAGCAUCCCCCAGGGCAGCAAGCACCGAGAGCGGCCGAGCACCGCCCCAGAGCGAGGAACACGGAACCGGGAGCACCACGGGGACCCAUGGAGCAUCCACCCGGGGCA